rnacentral:antisense_RNA from 1 species
CAAAAGAGCAAGUCCGGAAACUAGCUUUGGCUGGGUUCGGUGGUACACAAAGCACAAGGCCUGGGUUGGAGUCAGGAGGAAAUGAGACUUGCGGCGAGGCGGGGCUGAAGAUGUGUCAGUUCCCUGAACCUGGAGAGAGGCUGAAUCCCUUUGGUCAAGGAGAGGGAGAGAGAGGUAAGGGUCUGGUCUUACUUUUUAGGCAGGAAGAAGACUACAAACCGCCAUCUACCAUCUGCCAGGCCCUGGAAUUUGAACCAUCAUCUUCUGGACUGACUCAAAUGCAGAGGAAGCCAGGCCUGCUGCUAACAUUUCUGAGAGGUGGCAAGAGUAUAAAUGGAGAUCCACAUAUGUAUAAAUAAUUAAAGAGUGUGAAUCAAGCUAACAAACUGUUUAAUAAAAUAUGAUCUACACUCUGAGCUUGACAAAUCAACUUUUCAAACACCUGGAAGAACAAGUUUGCACUCAGGAGUCUUAGACUCCUCAGAGUUCUGCACUGGGAUGUGGAAGGGCUGUGCAAGCCAGCCCUUGGGUCCCUGAUCCCUGCCUCCUGGCCUGUGCCCGUCUCUUCUCAGCCUGGCUCCAGCUCCCAUUGAGAGGAAGUUCUUGUACACAUAUGAUAAUAUGAUACUGCAGCCCCUAUGUCUAAUAUUUAUCCAUACCUUCUGCAAACAGCCACUGUGUGACCACCCUUGGGCUUCCCAGGGGUCUGCAAACUGACAAUACAGACAAAGGGAACCAAGGCAGAGGCUCACAGACUGUUGAAAUGGGCUUGGGGCAAUUUGGGCAGAGACUUGUGGAAUCCCAGCAUGAUCACUCUGGGUGCUGUGUAAAAUGGAUGAAUAGCAAGGAGCUGCAGCCAAAAGCAAAUCAACAGAAGCACCACUCAGAAUGCCUCAGUACCCAUUACAUAAGGAUUCUUGUGAUUAAUUCUUCCCCAAAAUUUAGAGCCAAGAAAAAUCCAGCUCUCCUACCAAGAGUUGUAGAUUAGAGCUUCUGUUUCUAAUCUACAAACAAAUGUGUGCAAUGUCUUUUCAUGACAAUUCCAACUUUAUCAUAAGGCUGUCUACUAAGAAACCAGUAGGCAGGUUUCUCUUCUUGUCUAGACCACCUGAAAGCUCAUAGCUGAGUUCACACUUAGUUGCAGAGUAAACUGCCCAUUUAUCAAUCUGGCAUCCAAUCACAACUUUUUAGCUAACUACCUAUAUGUUUUCAUAAACUUUUCUCACACAGUAUAAAUUUUAAAUAAAUAACAAUAGCAAUUACUCAUAUAAGUAGUAACAACUUGAGACUGGUAUCUGACUAGUGGUUCUUUCACCAGUGUGUACACUGGAAGUUUUGUUUGUUUUGUUUUUUGAUGUUUGUACAUUGUAAUUGCAGGACAGGUAGUAAGAAGAUUUUAAAUUCACAUUAGCUUUGCUACCACUAAAUUAUGGUGACUGUUUCUAAUUUGCAAACAAAUGUAUGCAAUCUCUUUUUAUGAUUAUCCUGACUUUAUCAUAAGGUUGUUAUAUUUUAAGACAUAUGAAAAGGUAUAAAGUAUAAUACAGUGAAUACAUAUAUAUAUAUAUAACUCCCAGUUUAAGAAAUAAAACGUUAGCAAAUACAGCUGAAGUUCCAUGAAUUCCCCUCCCAAAUCAUACUCCCUUCCCAAAUCAUACUCCCUUCCCACCCGCAGAGGGAACCUCUAUUCUGAGCCUGGUGUUUAUCACCACCAAGAAUUAAAAAAAUACUUUUACUAUAUAUACACAAGUAUGUACCCCUUAGAAAUGAGUAGUAGUAAGUACUGUUUUGUGUGUCUUUACACUUUAAGUAAAUGGUAUAAAAGUUUUUUCUUGUUUUUGCUCAAAAUUGUUGAUAUUUAUGCCCUUUGAUUCUAUAGCUGAUUGACUUUCACUGUGAGUUAUUCCAUCAUUAUUUCUGUAUUCAUUCUCCUGCUGAAGUACAUUUCAGGUUGUUGCUAUUCCUCUCCUGAUCCCCCUCCCCCAACACACAUGCUUUUAUUAAUAAAUCUGCUGGAACAUUCUUGCAUACAUCUCCUUGGAUGUGUUAUGCUGGAACAUUCUUGCAUACA